rnacentral:rRNA from 1 species
CCUACGGGGGGCAGCAGUGGGGAAUAUUGCACAAUGGGGGAAACCCUGAUGCAGCGACGCCGCGUGAGUGAAGAAGUAAUUCGGUAUGUAAAGCUCUAUCAGCAGGGAAGAAAAUGACGGUAUCUGAGUAAUAAGCACCGGCUAACUACGUGCCAGCAGCCGCGGUAAUACGUAGGGGGCAAGCGUUACUCGGAAUUACUGGGCGUAAAGGGCGCGUAGACGGGAGUGCAAGUCUGGUGUGAAAGCCGGGGGUUCAACCCCCGGACUGCAUUGGAAACUGUACGGCUGGAGUGCAGGAGAGGUAAGUGGAAUUCCUGGUGUAGCGGUGAAAUGCGUAGAUAUUAGGAGGAACACCAGUGGCGAAGGCGGCUUACUGGACUGUAACUGACGUUGAGGCGCGAAAGCGUGGGGAGCAAACAGGAUUAGAUACCCUAGUAGUC